rnacentral:tRNA from 1 species
GUGUAGCUCAGUGGUACAGCACUUGCCUAGUAUGCACAAAGCCCUGGGUUCAAUCCCUAGCAC